GGCUGUCGUCAGCUCGUGUCGUGAGAUGUUGGGUUAAGUCCCGUAACGAGCGCAACCCUUGUCCUUAGUUACCAGCACGUUAUGGUGGGCACUCUAAGGAGACUGCCGGUGACAAACCGGAGGAAGGUGGGGAUGACGUCAAGUCAUCAUGGCCCUUACGGCCUGGGCUACACACGUGCUACAAUGGUCGGUACAGAGGGUUGCCAAGCCGCGAGGUGGAGCUAAUCCCAGAAAACCGAUCGUAGUCCGGAUCGCAGUCUGCAACUCGACUGCGUGAAGUCGGAAUCGCUAGUAAUCGCGAAUCAGAAUGUCGCGGUGAGUACGUUCCCGGGUCUUGUAACACCGCCAUC
rnacentral:rRNA from 1 species